AGGAAGAUAAGUCUCAAAGGUACGACUGUACGAGUAUAUUAUUAUUACUGUAUCACUAUUUUUUAUAAAUUUUUUUCGCUUACCACAUGUUAUUUAUCUUACGAAUCAAUUGCAGUUACUAUGUAAGACUAUAGUAAUAAACCAAAAUUAUAAAAAAAAAAAAAAAAUAAUUAAGAAAAUAUUAUAAUACUAUAUUACUUUUUAAUGAACCUAUCUGCAUCUGCAAAUGGUAUCAAACUAUCCAAAUAAACGUCAUUGUUUGUUGAUCAAUUAACUAUGUAUAAUACAAUAUAUUCGUCGUUUAUUUAUAGUUUGGUGACGAUACUAUGACAGUACCACUCGGCACACCUUCGUAUAACUAGCUCUAGGUACAACCUGAAUUCAACCGGGAAAAAAUGAAAAAAUGUAAAAUACGAGAUACGAUACUAUAUCGAUUUCAGUUCAUGAGAAAAUUAACGUUUGUGUAUCUUGCUUUGUCAACUAAUUCAAUCGAGAUGUGCAAUCAGACAUUGUCGGAUUAAGUAGAUUUAACUUAUACAUAAGUUCAUACAAAUCAUCACUUAUUAUUGUAAAGCUCUUUGAAGUAAGAAUAAACCAAUAAACUGAUAUCACAUCAAUCAUCAACAUUAAGAAAAACGAAUGUCUAUAAAUGUUACGAAGAUAAUAUUUCAUAUUAAUUCAG